CCUCCAGAAGCUAAGAUGUGUGGGAACACUUCAAUUGCUGAGGAUGUGGGGGACAACUGAAUGGGAUAGAGGAGUUCCUCCCAGACUUCCAACCCCUAUGGACAGCAUAUGAAUUGGAAGAUGCACAACUUGAAUUUAAAAUAAAGGAUUGCUUUGAACAUCCUGUGCCUGGCCAACUAAAAUACACCGUGGAUCCCUGCCAGAGGCUCCAGUGACUCCUGCCCCGAGGCUGACUUGCUGAUGAGUUUCAUAUGAAACAAAGGGAAGAAGGGGCAGCGUGAACGGGAAAGGGAAACAGCACAGCCAUGGAGACUCGAAGGCCCAGCUCUACAAACCAAAGAAGCAAACGCUUGUCUGCUCACAGGAAGAGGGUCUCCUUUGUGACCCAGUGCACAAGGAGGAACUGGCAACAAGGAGUCACAUCUUAGUCAUACCACACCCCGCUCCUGGAAGACCACUGAAGCCACUCAAGACCACUCAAGCUCACACCCUCCAUGGUGCGGGUCAGCCAUGCCAGUUCUGUGGAUAUCAUGCACUUUCCCCCACGUGCCCAUGAACACCUGAAUGAGGCUUGAAAAAGCUUACAGAUAAUUCUCUUUUUCCUUCAAGAAUAUGUCAUAGCUAAGACUAAGAGCCAUGCAUCAGCUUUCAUUGAUCCUGAAAUAAAACCCUGUUUGGAAAAAACUUCUUUUAUGCACAGCUUCAAGAAAAUCAGAACGCCAGUUUGAUUUUCUUGAAUCAGACCAUCUAUAACAUAAUUCAAGCAUCAAAAAAUGUUCAAUGCAAACAGAGGAAGGGGAGAGAGAGCAUAAUACAAUCUGAAUUUUUUUUGUAUGCAAAAAUGUUUCCCUUUUAAUGUUUAUCAAUUUUCAUGAUGUGAAUAGUAUCAUGAGCUGUUCAGUGGUAGAAUGGGAGCUGCCUUUUCCUGUGACUGCUCAGAUGAUAAAGAAUCUGCCUGCAAUGUGGGAGGCCUGGGUUCGAUCCCUGCGUUGGGAAGAUCCCUUGAAGAAGGGAAUGGCUACCCACUCCAGUAUUCUGGCCUAGAGAAUUCUAUGAACAGAGGAGCCUGGCAGGUUAAAGUCCAUGGGGUCGCAAACAGUCAGACAAGUCCGAGCAACUUUCACUAUCACUUUCAAAUAAGAAUGAUAUACUAAACACAAUUAAAAUGAGUGUCACCCUUCCACCAAAUAAAACAUUGUAGAAAUUCAUGUAGUAAGCAAACUGAUUGAGUCAAAUUAUUUCAACUAGAAAAAAAAGUCUGAAAGGCUAAACAGUACUAACUCUUACAAAGUUUGGCCUGUGGGUCCCAUCUCUCUCUGUGGCUCUUUGUUCCACAUUUUCAUACUCUGCUGGUCACCUCCCUUCCCCUAAACCAGGUGUCAGGUGCUCCUUCCCCUGCUCUCAGCUGGUUGCUCCUUUCGAAAGGAUUCAGUUAAGUUAGGGGUUGGAAACAUCAGCUCACAGGCCAAUUAGAGCCCACCUCCUGUUUUUGUAAAUGAAAUUUUACAGAAACUCGGCCA